CAAUAACACUUUAAAAGUGGUUUCCACUCAGUGGCUGUUCAUUAUCGCAGGAUAUUAUACAGGAUGAAGUUCUUCGUGCAGGUUUUUCUUUUCGCGCUGCUCGCUUUGUCCGGGCUCGUGAGUGCCGGAAAAAUGGCUAUAAAUCCGGCAACCACAACCACCGAAAGACCAAUUUUCUUUCCAUGUUUUGAUGAAGACGGCAUCUUUAUCGGAUGUACGCCGCAUCCGUAACAGAAUAAAUGAAAUAAUGAAUUGAAUUUGACUUUAAACUAGCAACUACAACUACAUAAUUGAAAUCAAAUCGCAAAGCUCACACUUGUAACAGUUAUUAUGAUAAAUUCUGAAAUAAACAACCAUAUAAAUAUGUUACCAUACAUGCUAACUGCAACCAAUUCCAUCCAUGUUCAACAUUUCUAGAACAUGUAGCAAGUGAGAUUCCACAUCAGCACGCUAAUAUAUAAGCUGUUCUCUCAUCCCUGUGACGUUUAAAUCUUAUACUAACCCUGUUUCAAUCGAAACCCAUUGUAAAAAAAAAACAGCGAAACAUGAAAUUCCUUGCCACCAUAAUUCUCUUUGCAUUUAUUGCACUGAUCGGACAGGGAUCCGCAGAACCAUCUCGCAAUGAUAUUUCCGUUUAUGAGAAAUUAUGCCAAACCUUUGGGCUGGAGAAGGACUGCUGGACUACUGCCAACCCACCAACGAAAAGGCCUCUUGCUGACAUUAAACAAGAAACCAAAGAGAACAAAGAUUUGAUGCGUUGAACAGUUCCAACUGUAACCAAAACGUUGCAAAAUAAACCUCACAUUUAUUCAACUGUAAAAUUAUCAAUUUUCUGCAGUGCUGCAAUGUAAAUAAAAACUAACUGCUCUGCAAACUA